AAUUAUUAAAAAAAUAUAUAUAUAAUUUAAAUAUAUGUACCUUUCCAGUUAAGUGUCACAAAUUGAAUUAUGGGUAAUAUGAAAAUAUAUGGGAUAUGGAGAAACCCAUUGAAUUAUUCUGCCGUAAACACCGCAAUUAACCACCAGGGGGAGAUGUUCGGAAACUGCAUGCAAUCUUGUAUUUGACCAAAUGUAAACAAUUAUCAUUUUGUCUACGAACAUCCGAUCCAGACGCAUGAUACGUCUUUGGAAAGCCACAAAACGGCUUUUUUAUAUAAAAAAAUAACCCCUGCAUAUUGAGCUACAGGGCACAGCACGAGCAGUGAAACCGGGGUCCCCACAGACUUCUAUCAGGCGCGUUCACGGUCAUAACAAAGCCUACGUCAGCAUGCGCGCUUCACAGAAUGUCCGCCCCCAUGCUUGCCUGGAGUUUCACAUCGCAAUAGAGGAUUCGCCUCAGGUCUGUGACGAUGAGAAGGUCUCCACAGUCUGGAGUCUGGUCUCUGACAGGCUCAACAUACCUGUCAAUCAACAGGGACUCCUCUACAAAGGCAAGGCGCUGGCAGGUAGGCUGAACAGCACAGCACAGCUCACCCCUCCUCUCACCCCUCACCUCACCCCUCCUCUCAACACUCCUCGCACGCCUCGCCUCACCCCGGGUCAGUGUGGCAUAGCCUGCCUGCUCUUCUGAACAGACACUUCAGCCCUGCCGACGCAGUGACAGUCUGGAGCAGCAACACAAGGUGAUGAAGUGACACUUUGAAUAUGGGGCCUGAUGAGAGAAGUAUCCUUUUCAUGUGGUUUUGGUUUUGCCGUUGUGAGCAGGUGUGGGAGACAGCACCGUGUCUGCAUGUGAAAUAACAAAGUCAUCGCAGUGGAGGGACUCUCUGAAGGCUGCUGUUUGUGGAUUUGUCUUGUAAUGUGAUGAAGUGACACUUUGAAUAUGGGGCCUGAUGAGAGACGUAUCCUUUUCAUGUGGUUUUGGUUUUGCCGUUGUGAGCAGGUGUGGGAGACAGCACCGUGUCUGCAUGUGAAAUAACAAAGUCAUCGCAGUGGAGGGACUCUCUGAAGGCUGCUGUUUGUGGAUUUGUCUUGUAAUGUGAGUGAUCUACUGUACUGUGAUGCCACUGUCUGUACGCACGCUGCACUGUAGGGGAGACACCGCUGGCAUUCACAGGGCAUGCCUGUUCAUUUAAAGCACGCUGCACUGCAGGGGAGACACCGCUGGCAUUCACAGGGCAUGCCUGUUCAUUUAAAGCACGCUGCACUGUAGGGGAGACACCGCUGGCAUUCACAGGGCAUGCCUGUUCAUUUGAAGCACACUGCACUGUAGGGGAGACAACGCUGGCAUUCACAGGGCAUGCUUGUUCAUUUGAGGCACGCUGCACUGUAGGGGAGACACCGCUGGCAUUCACAGGGCAUGCUUGUUCAUUUGAAGCACACUGCACUGUAGGGGAGACAACGCUGGCAUUCACAGGGCAUGCUUGUUCAUUUAAAGCACGCUGCACUGUAGGGGAGACACCGCUGGCAUUCACAGGGCAUGCUUGUUCAUUUAAAGCAUGCUGGUGUGUGAUGUUUGCACAGUGAUUUUGUAUCUUAUUUUCAGGUGAAGUUUUGAAUGCAUCAAGUUGGAACACCUGGCUUAAGAUAAUGAACUCCACUUUUCAUAAUGAAAAUUGUUUAGUUUGCAUGAUUUGACAAUACAGGUGGAUUUAAUUAGACAACAAAACCACCCAUUACUCCAUAAACAAUGACUUGAACAGUCAUGAUCCUGUUUGACCAUGUUUCAGGAGACCUCUAGUGCUCAAGAUGCGCCAUGUGAGGGAAUAAUGCUAUUUUUAUUCUCAAACUUAUAUACCUCCCUUGAAUUACUUUACCACGACAUCUACACACACACACACACACACACACACACAGUGAGAGUCUGGAGCAGCAACACAAGGUAACCUGAAUACAAUAAACACACACACUGCUACACACACACACACACACACACAGUGAGAGUCUGGAGCAGCAACACAAGGUAACCUGAAUACAAUAAACACACACACUGUUACACACACAGACACACACACAGUGAGAGUCUGGAGCAGCAACACAAGGUAACCUGAACACAAUAAACACACACACUGCUACACACACACACACACUGCUACAAUGCACAUCGGAUUUAAAAGUAUGUUCUAUUGAGUGGCAAUAAAGAGUGCUGACUGUAUUUGAACCCGAAGUAACUGUUUGUUAAGGUAGUUAGUAACACUUGUGAUUGUAUUUAAUGAUUCUUUAUAUAGCCGUGAUUGUCUUGAUUUCAAUGCAGUUAAUUAAUGCAGAAGUUGUUCUUCCCUGCAACUAUUGUAAGGAUUAAUGCUGCCUCUUUCAACUUGGGGUGCAUGCUAUGUAUUUUUUGGGGGACCCUUGUGGGACAGGUAAAGUUGUAUAUAAUGUCCAACUAGGCUGAAAGCAUUUAUAGAUUGUUUAAUUUAUUUAUU